UACGGAGGGUGCAAGCGUUGCUCGGAAUUAUUGGGCGUAAAGCGCGCGUAGGCGGCUAUUUAAGUCGGAUGUGAAAGCCCCUGGCUCAACUGGGGAAGUGCACCCGAAACUGAGUAGCUAGAGUGCGAAAGAGGGUCGCGGAAUUCCCGGUGUAGAGGUGAAAUUCGUAGAUAUCGGGAGGAACACCGGUGGCGAAGGCGGCGACCUGGGUCGACACUGACGCUGAGGCGCGAAAGCGUGGGGAGCAAACAGG
rnacentral:rRNA from 1 species